UCGCAAGGCUGGCCCAGCCUCGGUGAGGCUCGGCCUCGCUAGAUCUGGUGAGUUCGAGCCUCGCCGGUGGCUGGGCUUGCCUCCAGC
rnacentral:pre_miRNA from 1 species